UAGGGAAUCUUCCGCAAUGGGCGAAAGCCUGACGGAGCAACGCCGCGUGAGUGAUGAAGGUCUUCGGAUCGUAAAACUCUGUUAUUAGGGAAGAACAAAUGUGUAAGUAACUAUGCACGUCUUGACGGUACCUAAUCAGAAAGCCACGGCUAACUACGUGCCAGCAGCCGCGGUAAUACGUAGGUGGCAAGCGUUAUCCGGUAUUAUUGGGCGUAAAGCGCGCGUAGGCGGUUUUUUAAGUCUGAUGUGAAAGCCCACGGCUCAACCGUGGAGGGUCAUUGGAAACUGGAAAACUUGAGUGCAGAAGGGGAAAGUGGAAUUCCAUGUGUAGCGGUGAAAUGCGCAGAGAUAUGGGGAAACACCAGUGGCGAAGGCGACUUUCUGGUCUGUAACUGACGCUGAUGUGCGAAAGCGUGGGGAUCAAACAGG
rnacentral:rRNA from 1 species